CGGCCCGGCCCGGCUCGGUUCGGCUGCCUCGGUCCCGGGGCAGCGCCGUGCGGGGAGGUCUACAGCAGUCAGAGGGUCUGUGGUCUAAAGCCCCUUUCUGCUAAGUCAUGUAUCUCGCGACAUGACUUAGUUGUCCUCUUGGCUGUGACUCAGAUAAAGGAGUAAGGGCUGGAGAACAGCAAACAAAAUUGCGAUUAUUCAUAUAGCACAUUCCAGAAACAAAAAUAAUCUCUGCUGUGCUUUUCCUGUCUCCCAAAAUGAAGAAAAUGGAUGAGGAUCAAGGUCCGAUCUACCUCUGUUGAGGUCGGAGUUCCCUGUCAACUGUACUGGUCCCACACCAAGCAGCCUAGCUGAAAAAAAUUGCAGAUCAGGGCUGUUUAGAAGGGCCUUGGAUAUUAUUAUUCAGGCUAAUCUUAGGCUGUCCAUUGCUGAUAAACCAUUUCUUUUGACCUAAGUGGAAUAUCCACUACAGAAAUAGUCUAACUGUAUAUUGAUGUAUGAUUCCUUUCUUUCUCCUGUUAGUAUCUUCUAUGGUGUGCAUGUGAAUUGUGAAUAUGGAAUCUGUUUACUCAAAAAGAUUCAUAUGGUCAAGUUUUCUGUCUGUUUACUUGCUUAAAUAAAUGUUUUCAAUUUAACACAACAAUUUGUAAUGA